rnacentral:rRNA from 1 species
UGGGGAAUAUUGGACAAUGGGCGCAAGCCUGAUCCAGCCAUGCCGCGUGAGUGAUGAAGGCCUUAGGGUUGUAAAGCUCUUUCGCAAGGGAAGAUAAUGACGGUACCUUGAUAAGAAGCCCCGGCUAACUUCGUGCCAGCAGCCGCGGUAAUACGAAGGGGGCUAGCGUUGUUCGGAAUUACUGGGCGUAAAGCGCGCGUAGGCGGCUUGCCAAGCCAGAGGUGAAAAUCCCGGGGCUCAACCCCGGAACUGCCUUUGGAACUGGUAGGCUAGAGACCCGGAGGGGCAGUGGAAUUCCUAGUGUAGAGGUGAAAUUCGUAGAUAUUAGGAGGAACACCAGUGGCGAAGGCGACUGCCUGGCCGGGUACUGACGCUGAGGUGCGAAAGCGUGGGGAGCAAACA